GACGAACGCUGGCGGCGUGCCUAAUACAUGCAAGUAGAACGCUGAAGCCUGGUGCUUGCACCGAGCGGAUGAGUUGCGAACGGGUGAGUAACGCGUAGGUAACCUGCCUGGUAGCGGGGGAUAACUAUUGGAAACGAUAGCUAAUACCGCAUAAGAGUAGAUAUUGCAUGACAUUUGCUUAAAAGGUGCAAUUGCAUCACUACCAGAUGGACCUGCGUUGUAUUAGCUAGUUGGUGAGGUAACGGCUCACCAAGGCAACGAUACAUAGCCGACCUGAGAGGGUGAUCGGCCACACUGGGACUGAGACACGGCCCAGACUCCUACGGGAGGCAGCAGUAGGGAAUCCUCGGCAAUGGACGGAAGUCUGACCGAGCAACGCCGCGUGAGUGAAGAAGGUUUUCGGAUCGUAAAGCUCUGUUGUAAGAGAAGAACGAGUGUGAGAGUGGAAAGUUCACACUGUGACGGUAUCUUACCAGAAAGGGACGGCUAACUACGUGCCAGCAGCCGCGGUAAUACGUAGGUCCCGAGCGUUGUCCGGAUUUAUUGGGCGUAAAGCGAGCGCAGGCGGUUAGAUAAGUCUGAAGUUAAAGGCUGUGGCUUAACCAUAGUACGCUUUGGAAACUGUUUAACUUGAGUGCAAGAGGGGAGAGUGGAAUUCCAUGUGUAGCGGUGAAAUGCGUAGAUAUAUGGAGGAACACCGGUGGCGAAAGCGGCUCUCUGGCUUGUAACUGACGCUGAGGCUCGAAAGCGUGGGGAGCAAACAGG
rnacentral:rRNA from 1 species